rnacentral:lncRNA from 1 species
AGCUCCACAACCCUCAAACCAGAUCAAGAUCUCUCCUCCCUGGGUCGCCAGCUUCCUGACCUUCAAACAACAGGAACAUUGCUCCUCCCUGGGUCAGCAGNNNNNNNNNNCUGCAGCUCCACAACCCUCGAACUAAAACAAGACCUCUCCUCCCUGGCUCGCCAGCUUCCUGACCCUCGAACUACAACAACAUUGCUCCUCCCUGGGUCAGCAGCUCCACGACCCUCAGACUCAAACAAGACUUCUCUUCCGCGGGUUGUCAGCUACCGGACUCUCGAAUUACAACAACAUUGCUCCUCCCUGGGUCAGCAGCUCCACGACCCUCAGACCAGAUCAAGACCUCUCCUCCCUGGGUCACCAGCUUCCAGACCCUCGAACUACAACAAAAUUGCUCCUCCCUGGGUCGGCAGCUCCACGACCCUCAAACUCCAACAAGACUUCUCCUCCCCGGGUUGCCAGCUGCCGGACCCUCAAAUUACAACAACAUUGCUCCUCCCUGGGUCAGCAGCUCCACGACCCUGAAACUAGAACAAGACCUCUCCUCCCUGGGUCACCAGCUUUCUGACCCUCGAACUAUAACAACAAUGCUGCUGCCUGAGUCUGCAGCUCCACGACCCUCAAACUAGAACAAGACGUCUCCUCCCUAAGUCUCCAGCUUCCGGAUCCUCGAAUUGCAACAACGUUGCUCCUGCCUGGGUCUUCAGCUCCACAAAAAUCAAGCUAGAACAAGACCUCUCCUCCCUGGGUCGCCAGCUUCCUGACCCUCAAACUACAGCAAAAUGCCCCCUCCCUGGGUCAGCAGCUCCACGACCCUCAAACUACAACAAGACCUCUCCUCCCUGGGUCGCCAGCUUCUGGACCCUCAAACUACAACAAAAUUGCUCCUCCCUGGGUCGGCAGCUCCACGACCCUCAAACUUGAACAAGACUUCUUCUCCCCAUGUUGCCAGCUACUGGAACCUCGAAUUACAACAACAUUGCUCCUCCCUGGGUCUGCAGCUCCACGACCCUCAAACUCGAAGCAGACUUCUCUUCCGCGGGUUGUCAGCUACCGGACUCUCAAAUUACAAUAUUGCUCCUCCCUGGGUCUGUAGCUCCACGACCCUCAAACUCAAACAAGACUUCUCCUCCCCGGGUUGCCAGCUACCGGACCCUCGAAUUACAACCACAUUGCUCCUUCCUGGGUCAGCAGCUCCACGACCCUGAAACUAGA